GAGCGGGGCCGCGGCGGGCCGGGGGCGGCGGGUGCUCGGCAGGCAGCUCGCACCGUCCCCCGCCACGGGACCGGCCCCCCGGAGCGUUGCCCCCCGGAGCAUCCUCCCGGAGCGUCCCCGCCGGCCCCGGCGCAGCGGAAGAGAGUGAAAAUACCGGAAACAAAAGAGAGGAGCUACUCUGCAGAAUUUCCAGUGGUUUACAGAGUGAAUUUCAAAUUAGUAGAAAUCUGCCCAGGGAAGGGGCUGGUAUCGCAGGGAGUGGCCAAAGCUGGAACCACUUCUCAAAGCACCGAUGGUCUGGCCCUCACCAGGACUUUGGUUCAAGACAUCAGACUCCAAUCAAUGGAGCUGUGAGGGCGACCGUGUGGACCAUCUCGAAUAGUGUCCGUCUGUCAGUAAAGAGCUGCUCUGUCUGCCCCGUCGUGUGAACGGUCCCAUGUGCUGCAGAGGAUGCAGGUACAAAACUAGACUGUUCUCCCAUCAGAGAAAACACAUUCAAUCAAGUUCUGUUCAUAUGCUAAAAAAAAAAAAAUUAAAAAAAAAUCAUUAUGGGAGAUGAACAGUGUACAUGCUCAGACACUAACAUUAAGCUGUCUUUGAGGUGGUGGGAAAUCUGUAUAGUUACCCCUAUUCUGUCUUUUCACACUUUGGAUUGGGUCCCCACAUAAACGCUACAGAUAUACUGGCUGCUGGACUGUUUCCAGUCUGCUCCUCCAAAGUCACGUGUCAGCAGGCAUGGCUGAGCAAGAAAAAAAUUGUAUUUGUUUUUUUAAUGUGCAAGAUAAGAGGAUGUAAAGACUUGGGGUGAGUUACGGCUGUAAUAUGUAAUUUUUAUUUUAAGCCUAUUGAUUUAUUUAUACAGUUUUAUAUUUGUACCUCAAUGACAUGUUCCCUCUCCCUCAUACAGCUGUUCUUCAAAGUGAGUUUUCCAUCAUGCUAGUGCUGAACAUCAUGGUUCCAUACAAGAGAAUUUAGAAAGUUAUUACAAAUAAGGGGUAUUAUCAAGUAGCCAGCCAUUGCUGUAGUAUUUGUUAUGAAAUAAGGACGGGCUUUUGGAAGCUGAUGUUGUUUUUUACUCACUUAGCACUGAUGUAAUCUUAAUUACACUGCUUAAGUUAAUUCUCACAUGAGAAAAAAAUAGGACAGUGUUAGGCCCAUUGCAUUUUUAUCCAGAAUGAUAGAAUGGAUUAUUCAGUCAGCAAGGAGUCUCAGAAUAAUACAGUUUAUCUUCUUUUGCAAGAGUGUGAUAAAUUGGAUUAAUCUCAUCUUGUGGUCAUGAAGAUUAGUCCACCUGAUGUGGCAAGAGCUGUUUUGAUGAUUGUACUAGAAGGGGUUGUUUUGUGGCCAAGACCUCUCUCUGCCGAUGCUGUGCAGGCGAUGGUACCUUCUGCCAUGAAAUGUCGGGCUCUUCUCUAGUUCUGCUUCCCACCUAGACACAGCUCCAGCCUUACCUGCCUGCCCACCUGGAGAUGUUGCACGCUCCAAGAGCUCAAAAGAGAAAGUUCAGAUUUGGUCCUGAGCUUGGACAAUGCCAGUGGUAGAUCCAAAACCAUCAAGGAAUCAGGUCUUCCCUUCCUGCACGAGUGCUGCUGGCUCAUUUCACUGGAUAACAUGGAUCCUGGAGUCCACUGUUAGCUUGAGUGAGAGUCCAUAAGACACAUCCAUCUUGUCCUGCCUGCAGGAAGGGAGCGCAGCUCUGCAGCGAGGGGGGCGAAGUGGGAGAGACCUCAGCCACAUCCUUUGCAAACUGGGCAGUACGGCAUUUGGAGCCCCUGGAGAAAUGUCACUGGGGGGGCAAAACCACUAAGAUGGUAUUCUGUAAUUGUCUGAGAUGAUGGAUAUCCCAAAGCGUCUGAAAUGGCCUAUUGCGUGGUACCCCGGGUGGCUGGAGACACCCCGGCGGGUGUGCUGCUUCACCAGGGGCUUCUCCAGUCUUUACAGCUGCUGAGCAAAGCCUUCAUCGUGGCAACGAGGAAGACAGACAAAGCACAGCUGGGGCAUCUUACAUGGCACAAGGCUUUGUGUCCUCUGAGUCAGAGGAUAUCAGAUUCCUACAGGAGGUGUCUCCUUGCAGGGAUGUGUCCAGCCCUGCCCGACUCCUGCGGCCACCUCUGCUUCGGACCCACUGGAACUGAGAUGUCCAAGAAGAACUUGGAGGCUGAAUUUUGUUAUUGUCUUAGCUGAAAGAUACUUGAGUCUUUUGAACUGGAGUGUCAAAAAGCACAAAAAUGUAGAAAAUCCCACAUAAGGACCUUGUGUCCCAUCCCCUUCCCCCUCUCGCUGUGAUUCCUGGUGCGCACUGUUUGGUUUGGCUGAAGAUCAGGAGUGAAAGGAUAUUGUUUCUAAUUCCUCAUUCUGACCCAGACCAGGACAUGUGGGGAAGCAUUUCUAAUCUUUCUACACUGAAAUCUCUUUUUUUUUUUUUUUUUCAAGCCUGUAAGCAAAUAAAGGGAAAUUUGCUUUUAGAUCCAAGACAUAGAUACCCAAAAUACUUCGCUCACCUUGGGUAAGAAAAUAUUAUGAGAUGCUCCAGCUUUUAAAUGCACUGGGUCCAGGAAGUGAAGAACUUGCUACUUUUAUUUUAGUUAAAGUUCAUUCUUGGGUAAUCAAUCUUUGUUUUUCUAAUCUAAUACAGUGUGUGUGAUGUGGGACUUUCCAGAACUGACAAUGGAUUUGGUUGCUGUGCUGUCUGUCCUGCUGGCCCUGAUGGAGGAGUUAAUAAUUCCCUUUCCAAGGGGAAACUAUAAUAUUUCCAAAGUUCAUCUUUCUAUGCAGUGUACUUCAUAACCUUCUUCAUUAACAAAGCAAAAAUUAUUAGA